GAUGAACGCUGGCGGCGUGCCUAAUACAUGCAAGUCGAGCGAACGGACGAGAAGCUUGCUUUUCUGAUGUUAGCGGCGGACGGGUGAGUAACACGUGGAUAACCUACCUAUAUGACUUGGAUAACUUCGGGAAACCGUAGCUAAUACCGGAUAAUAUUUUGAACCGCAUGGUUCAAAAGUGAAUGACGGUCUUGCUGUCUCUUAUAGAUGUAUCCGCGCUGCAUUAGCUAGUUGGUAAGGUAACGGCUUACCAAGGCAACGAUGCAUAGCGGACCUGAGAGGGUGAACGGACACACUGGAACUGAGACACGGACCAGACUCCUACGGGAGGCAGCAGUAGGGAAUCUUCCGCAAUGGGCGAAAGCCUGACGGAGCAACGCCGCGUGAGUGAUGAAGGUCUUCGGAUCGUAAAACUCUGUUAUUAGGGAAGAAAAUAUGUGUAAGUAACUGUGAACAUCUUGACGGUACCUAAACAGAAAGCCACGGCUAACUACGUG
rnacentral:rRNA from 1 species